rnacentral:misc_RNA from 1 species
GAUGAAGAACGUAGCGAAAUGCGAUAAGUAAUGUGAAUUGCAGAAUUCAGUGAAUCAUCGAAUCUUUGAACGCACAUUGCGCCCGCCAGUAUUCUGGCGGGCAUGCCUGUCCGAGCGUCAUUUCAACCAUCAAGCCCCCGGGCUUGUGUUGGGGACCUGCGGCUGCCCGCAGGCCCUGAAAACCAGUGGCGGGCUCGCUGUCACACCGAGCGUAGUAGCAAUCACCUCGCUCAGGGCGUGCUGCGGGUUCCGGCCGUUAAACAGCCUUAUUUACCCAAGGUUGACCUCGGAUCAGGUAGGAAGACCCGCUGAACUUAAGCAUAUCAAUAAGCGGAGGA